rnacentral:lncRNA from 1 species
CAGGAUCAUCAUGAUAAAGAAGUUGGACACGUAAAGUUAAAGAAAUGUUUGUCCAAAGGUGAAUAUGAUAGAAAGAAUCAUAAUUUUUGUGAAAGAGAAUGAUUAAAGUACAUCCAACUGAAUAAACAGAAAAGCAAGAAGCAAUGGAGUUGAGUGGUACGUAUAUUAUAUCAACACUUCUACAACAUCCACUGCUUAAA